GAGAGGCUGGUAUCGGGGUACAGCGGUUCGCCGACGGGCAAAACUUCUCAAUAGUUUUUUGUGUACAAUUGUGAAUGUGUACAUACGACGUCCAGUUCAAAACUUCCGUACACAGCGUAUUGUAUUGUAUGCGUGGUCAUUUUGUUUCAAUGGAUUGUCCGAAGUCUACAUCAAAACAGCUGAAUCUGUAAGGGAAAUUAUACAUUUUUGUGACAGUGAGCAAGAAAAAGAAAGAAUAUUGCCAAGAUGACAGCUGUAGUCCUACGUGUGUAUAAUUGAAGAUCAUCAUAGCCUACAUAGUACAUACAGUAGAUGACAUUCAGAAAAAGGAUUUGGCAAUCUAUUGCAGUGAAUAUCUAGAGGACUGCACAACCCGCAUCACAGAGAAAGGUUAGUUUUCCCCAACAAUUAUAUUUUCACAUCUCUGGAAUAUAUUAGUUGGAGUGUUAGCUAUUU